UCGACAAGGAAGCGACUCAGCGCGAGGGAGGGUUUCCGAGUGCGGCUGCUUUCUUGGUCUACGACGGCGAGAGCGGAGCAGCAGGAGGGAGCGAGAGGGCAAUGGGGGGCGGCGCCGCUGAAACCACUGGCAGUAGUGGCGGAGGAGGAGGGGGUUUUAAGGCUCGGUUGGAGCACUACUUAUAUAGCGGCGACAAGAAGCACGUCUUCGCUGGCAUCGCCGUCAUCUCGGCUGUCUUCGCCGUCCCUUGGUUCCUCAUGAAUCGAGGGACAAGGCAUCAGUCCCAUCAAGAUUAUAUGGAGAAGGCUAAUGAAGCACGGAGUGAGCGGCUUUCUUCCGGUCAGCCAACUAUCAAGUAACCUGUUCACACGGGUGACAUAUCAUCGUUACUGCCUCUUUUUUACUUCGUCAUCAGACUGCAUGCAUGCGUAAUCAAAUCUUAGGUAGGGUAGGGGUUGUGGAUCAAACUCUGCAUUGGCGGUAUGAAUCCGUACCUGAUUCAGGAUGGAUGGAUGCUGACAAAAAUAAACAUAAAACUUUCGGUACGUAAAUUAAUUUUCCAAGUA